rnacentral:rRNA from 1 species
CUACGGGUGGCUGCAGUUAGGUAUAAUCUACAAUGCGCGCAAGCGUGAUAGUUUGAGCCAGAGUGUGUUCCAAUUGGAAUGCUUUUGCCGAAUGUAAAAAGUUCGGCGAAUAAGGACUGGGUAAGACUGGUGCCAGCCGCCGCGGUAAUACCAGCGGUCCAAGUCGCAGCCAUUUUUAUUGGGUCUAAAACAUCCGUAGCUUGUCUGGUAAGUUUCCUGUGAAAUCUGAUUUCUUAAGAAUUGGGCGUGCAGGAAGUACUGCCAGGCUAGAGACUGGGAGACGUAAGGAGUACGUUCGAAGUAGCGGUAAAAUGUUUUAAUCUCGGACGGACUAACAAUAGCGAAGGCACCUUACGAGAACAGUUCUGACAGUCAGGGAUGAAGGCUAGGGGCGCAAAACGGAUUAGAUACCCCUGUAGUC